rnacentral:lncRNA from 12 species
GAGACACAGAGAGAGAGAGAGAGAGAGAGAGAGAGAGAGAGAGAGAGAGAGGCGGAGACACAGGCAGAGGGAGAAGCAGGCUCUACGCAGGGAGCCGGACGUGGGACUCGAUCCCAGGUCUCCAGGAUCAGGCCCUGGGCUGAAGGCGGCACUAAACUGCUGAACCACCCGGGCUGCCUGCCUAUCUGGAUUUGGACCAGCCAUGUGUGCUGGGCAUUGAGGGCUCAGUUACCAGUCUCAUGUUUUUCCCUGUGCCUGAAGGAGCCAAGGCUGCCAUGGGUGUGCAGGGACGUGGAGCUGGUGCCUGCCUGGCUGUGGAAGGGGCCCUCUGUGCACCCUGGGACACGAUCCGCUGUGCGUCGUGUUGGCACGUCCCCAUGCGUGUUACUGGGUGGACCAGGAUGCCUCGCUGGGAGAGUCUCAGAACCCGCAGAUCUCAGAAGUGCCACUUGCCUUGACGUGUGCACUGGCCUCGCCCCACUCCUCAGUCCCUCUCACAAACCACCUCUUCACUUGAAGGCCUCUUCUCUCCAAAUCCACUUGCCAACAAGCCCAGCUAAGCUCGUUAAGAUUUAAGGACAUGGGGAACACAUGGAGUUCAGAUAAUAUUUUCUUAAAAAAAGAAAAAACCAAACAACCCAAACCAAUCGCACUCACUUGUUGAGCACUUGCUGUAUGCCGGGCCAUUACAUAGGCUGCCUUCUUCCUGAGGCAUGCGGGCCACAGGUUGUCACCUACCCCCCCACGCCCUCCAGGAAAGAGACUUGCAAAUCAAAUAGGUCAGUCACAACUGGGAUACAAACCUGAGCUUUUGAUUGGACUAGUUCUAGCUACCAGAGAGUUCUCUCUGGGGACGGGAAAGCAGGAAUAGUUACUUGUAUUUGCAUAAACAAACACUGGAAGGACACUUAGAAGCUAAUGUGAUUACAUAUGGCAGCGGGAGUGGGGAGGAAUGGAGGUUUUGGGGGUGAGAACUCUCAAAGUAUAUCCCCCUGUAUUACUUUGAUCUUCGAACCAUUUCGAUCUAUUACCUUAUUUUUAAAACAAAUGAGAUGAAAUUUUAACUGUUCAUUUUUUUCCCUCCUGAUAGAGGAAAAUGAGUAGAUGAGCUUGAUGGCUGAGCUGAAAAUUUUUUGAUGUCCAGAAUGUGUGUGGGCCUUAUUUUCCAUAAAGAUCAAUUAAUUAAUUUGGAUGUCAAAAAAGUGACUUCUUUCUAUGAUUUGGAAUUGGUCUUCUUAAACUUGUAUCCUUGGUGCCCAUUUCCUAUUCUAUAAGCUUCCAGUCUGAUGAGGAAAAUAAUCGAUUUCUAUCCCUCAAACAAGCCCCAGUCUGUGAUGGAGACACAGCCCUGCCCUCAGGGAGCCCCAGUCUGAGGGGAGACACAGCCUUGUCCUCAGGGAGCCCCAGUCUGAGGGGAGACAUAGCCCUGCCCUCAGGGAGCCCCAGUCUGAAGGGGAAACACAGUCCUAUCCUCAAGGACCCCCAAACUGAGGAAGACAGCCCUGUGUUCACAGAGUUCCCAAAGUCCAGCUCCUUUGGCCUAUGUCUGGGAAAUGAAGCUGUUCCUCUGUGCUCU